AUUAUGGUAAAAAAAUGAAUAAAUUUGCUUCCCGCGGUUGUCUUUCCUGAGGUUUUAUCGUAAACGUCGUUAUCGUAUACCUUCGUACCUCUUCGUAGACUUUGUGAACCAUCGUAAGACGCUCGUAAUGUUUCGUAAUGUCUCGCAAUGAUUUCCAUAGUCCUUUAAAAGCUCUAAUGUUAAAGUCAGUGAAAUGUGUUUGUGUUAACAUCGAUUUCUGCUGUUUAGAAAAUCGUUAAAUGGUUUCAGACUUUGUUACGCUUCUGUGUUUCUAAAAAUCGUGAAAAUAGUGAAAUUUUGUUUUUCGUGACUCGUGAAAUCGAAAAAUGAUCUUCGUGAUUUCGUGACGAGACCCCCC